UCCACUGCCCUUUCCCAUCUCUGCGUGCACGGAUUUUGAUGAUCAUAGAAACUGAUUGUAUUUUCUCCCGUACAGUUGCCGUGGCCAGAGCACAAGUACAACAGGAGCCGACACUGGAGACGACCGACGGUACUGGAAUAAAUAUCAGCUGCUCACAUUCCCAAAUACAGACCAACGAUUGGAUCCACUGGUACCGUCAGAUCCCGAGCGGAGGAUUCGAAUUCCUCGUGAGCGCUCACAAAGGGGUCAGAGAGCUGCCGGACAUCGCAGGAAAGCUGUCGGUGUCGGCAGAUCGGCGAUGGAGCGCGCUGUGGCUCGGGCGGCCCCGGCGCGGGGACGCGGCCGUGUAUUACUGCGCGCUGGGCCACGGGCAGAGGAGCCGGGGCUGCGGCCGGGCACGAACCGCCGCGGGCGGGGCCGGGCGGGGCCGGCAGGGGCCGCUCCGCUCCCGGCUGACGCCGCUGGGCGGGACCGGCACCGAGCCGAGCCUGGGACCCGCGGGACCCCGGCCGGGAGCGAACACGGGCCUGGCCUUCCACGAGAGACCCCUCCGAGCUCAAGGAUGCUGUCCUGCAAUGUGUACAGAACAAUUCUGAUGGACAGGAGCAUUUCAUUAGCUGUCAAGGGAAUCAGGAUAGGUAUUUCUGAGUCUAUUGGCAGCCAAAGAAAGGCUCAGAAGAUGUUGGCUCAUUGCUCGCUGACGAAGGCCUGCUGAAAUGACAAGGAAAAGGCUGGCACAGUCAGUGCCUUUUUGCCCACAUUUUACCUUCAGUCUGCUCUCCUCAGUUCCAUCACAUUGCCGAGCUUCCCUGAAGAUUUCUGGGAAUAAAUCAGUAUCCAGAGUAGAGGAAGAUGUAACUAAAGAACUCCUACUGCACAUACACCAGUCCACAUUGUCACAAACACACCCAAAGAGUAACUCAUAGCCUUGCAUUUAUGAAGAGAUGUGUGUAAACCCAUUUCCAAAGCAGAUCCAAGCACUGACAAUUCUCCUUCUGGCACGUCCCCAUCGAUGUUCAAACA